rnacentral:lncRNA from 1 species
UUGCAUCCAAAGCAUCGUACUUGUUUAGUAGGAAAAAUUUGCAGGAUAGGUGGAAAGCGUGAGUUGAAAGACGAUGCGCAUGCAUUGUGUUUGAUUCCCUCACAUGCCUGAGCCCUCCUUUUGCGAUCCCCCUUGCUUUGAUAGGUCAAAGUUAAAUCCUUAAACAAAGGGUGCCAUCCUUAUCCCAGACACUCCAAGCUCCUGUUUCCCAGUUUCCAACUAAAGGAUGCCACACCCAACGCCCCUCGAUCUUGAAUAUAGGCAAAUAAGACUCACCAAAUCCCCCAA